UUUUCCUUAGCUUAGUAGAGAGAGUGUCAGUUUGAAGUUCUGGAGGUAUAGAAAUAUAGGAAAAG
rnacentral:tRNA from 1 species